rnacentral:rRNA from 1 species
AAUGAACGCUGGCGGCAUGCCUUACACAUGCAAGUCGAACGGCAGCAUGACCUAGCUUGCUAGGUUGAUGGCGAGUGGCGAACGGGUGAGUAAUGCAUCGGAACGUGCCUUUUAGUGGGGGAUAACGUAGCGAAAGUUACGCUAAUACCGCAUAUUCUCUGGGGAGGAAAGCAGGGGACCUUCGGGCCUUGCGCUAGAAGAGCGGCCGAUGUCGGAUUAGCUAGUUGGUGAGGUAAAGGCUCACCAAGGCAACGAUCCGUAGCGGGUCUGAGAGGAUGAUCCGCCACACUGGGACUGAGACACGGCCCAGACUCCUACGGGAGGCAGCAGUGGGGAAUUUUGGACAAUGGGCGCAAGCCUGAUCCAGCCAUGCCGCGUGAGUGAAGAAGGCCUUCGGGUUGUAAAGCUCUUUCGGCUGGGAAGAAAUCGCACCCUCUAAUACAGGGUGUGGAUGACGGUACCAGCAUAAGAAGCACCGGCUAACUACGUG